AUCACAACUUUGGAACAUUCAUUGAGUUGUUUUUAUUAACUUUAAUACUGUUACAACAUCUGAUACAACAAAAUAUUACAUAAUGCGUUUACCUCUUGUAGGUUGAGCAGCAUUCACAAUUGUCUUGUUUUCUUAUAAUAAUAUCAUUUUAUUUUCAUGGUAGGCGGACUCAAAAGUGCAUAUACAUUGGAAGGGGGUUAGUGGAGAUAGCCUUGGCCUCGUGUACAGGGUAUCUUGAUGCAAAUGGUUGUGUGUAGUCCAUUGAUGAAAAUAAGGUCCUACGAGUUGGACCAAGUUCCUCCAAUCAGUCUCAUUGGUGACGGCGAAGACACCAACCUAUGGCAAUCUGCUUGGCUCAAUGGUUAUCCCUUGCGUGACCAACCAGCCAGGAUCACUCCUUCGGACAGUGACCUCUUACUCCCAGCACUAGAACUGCUAUGUAGGCUUUUGGAAAAGGCACAGCACUAGAACUCUGCUAUGUAGGCUUUUGUGGUUUGAAUCCCUCUCUUUCCAUACCCUUAUUAACACUUAAUUCACCAACAUUACCGACCUCAAUGUAUCAAAUAACAAUGAAUAGGUAUAUGUGAAAUAUCUGUGAUAAAUCCAAUAAAAAGACGGAGCCUAGCAAGGAUAGGAAAGACAGUAUCCUAAGAUCUAGGAGAAGUGGUACUUUGAAAGAGAGAUGUUAAGAGUAGUUGGAGAGCUUUUGUUCUCUCUUGUCUUCACUUCACAUUCAACUUGAAGAUGUCUUUAUGGGGAUUUUAGGUUACCAAGAAGCUUCAUCUUGCUCCCACAAUUAGAGAAUAAGAUCUUUUUCGGUUAGACAGUACAAGCUUGUAGGAGGAGCAUUUUCAUCAUCGAUAUCAAUGAUAACAAUAGCUUGUUGUUCAAAAUCAGAUUUCUUGUCACCUGCAUUGAACAUGGAAGUUAGGUAUCUUAGCUACUCAAAUGUACUAGAUCAGUCUUCAUAAUCA